rnacentral:tRNA from 1 species
AUCUGUGUAGCAGAGUGGAAAGGAGCAGGGCUCGUAACCCAAAGGUUGCUGGUUCGAUUCCCCGCUGGGG